UACGAAGGGGGCUAGCGUUGCUCGGAAUCACUGGGCGUAAAGCGCACGUAGGCGGAUUGCUAAGUCAGGGGUGAAAUCCUGGAGCUCAACUCCAGAACUGCCUUUGAUACUGGCGAUCUUGAGUCCGGGAGAGGUGAGUGGAACUCCGAGUGUAGAGGUGAAAUUCGUAGAUAUUCGGAAGAACACCAGUGGCGAAGGCGGCUCACUGGCCCGGUACUGACGCUGAGAUACGAAAGCGUGGGGAGCAAACAGG
rnacentral:rRNA from 1 species